rnacentral:misc_RNA from 1 species
AAGUCGUAACAAGGUUUCCGUAGGUGAACCUGCGGAAGGAUCAUUAACACGUAUCCAACAUGAAUCCCCCCGUGCACCUUCACUCUCUUGAUUAAGAGUUAAAUAAUGCGUCGGGAUUUUGGCUCCCUUGAAUUGUAUUGCCAAUUACCUUCUCGCGAUUUUUGUUUGGAUACGCGGGCCCUUCGAGGCACCCACCAUCAUAAAACCACCGCGUAAGCACCAGUUCACACCCUUAAACGGGCCAGGAGCCGGAAACCCGAACAACUGUUAACAAUGGAUAUCUUGGCUCUC